rnacentral:rRNA from 1 species
UAUUGCACAAUGGGGGGAACCCUGAUGCAGCGACGCCGCGUGAGUGAAGAAGUAUCUCGGUACGUAAAGCUCUAUCAGCAGGGAAGAAAAUGACGGUACCUGACUAAGAAGCCCCGGCUAACUACGUGCCAGCAGCCGCGGGAAUACGUAGGGGGCAAGCGUUAUCCGGAUUUACUGGGUGUAAAGGGAGCGUAGACUGCAAUGCAAGUCCGGAGUGAAAGCCCAAGGGUUAACCAUGGGACUGCUCUGGAAACUGUGGAGCUUGAGUGCGGGAGGGGCAGGCGGAAUUCCUAGUGUAGCGGUGAAAUGCGUAGAUAUUAGGAGGAACACCAGCGGCGAAGGCGGCCUGCUGGACCGUAACUGACGUUGAGGCUCGAAAGCGUGGGGAGCAAACAGG